GUGUCAGCAGCCGCGGUAAUACGGGGGGAGCAAGCGUUGUUCGGAUUUACUGGGCGUAAAGGGCGCGUAGGCGGCGCGACAAGUCACUUGUGAAAUCUCUGGGCUCAACCCAGAACGGUCAAGUGAUACUGUCGUGCUAGAGUGCGGAAGGGGCAACUGGAAUUCUUGGUGUAGCGGUGAAAUGCGUAGAUAUCAAGAGGAACACCUGCGGCGAAGGCGGGUUGCUGGGCCGACACUGACGCUGAGGCGCGAAAGCUAGGGGAGCGAACGGGAUUAGAUACCCCUGUAGUCC
rnacentral:rRNA from 1 species